rnacentral:rRNA from 1 species
AUGAGGACUGCCGUCAGGCGCGCCAGCGUAACGGCGCUCGUCACCGCCUGCGUCACCGUCGUCGCCUACGCCGUGGCCACAGCGGCCCAGUACGCAAUCGGCCGCCACCACCUCUGCAGCCAGGCUUUCUUCCUCCUGCGCUGCGUCAGGGUGACUGCCGCGGCGGCCGACGAGUGGAGGGCCCUCUGGCUCGCCAUGCUCUGCUGCGCGGUGCUCGAGGCGGCCGUGGCGGCGCUGGCGCUGCGGCUCCCAUGCCGCCGCCUCGCCCUCGCCUGCCUCCAGCUCGCGGUCACCAUGGUCCGCCACUGCAUGUGCGCCCGCGCCGGCCUCCUCCUCCUCGCCGCCGACCCAGGAUACCUCUUCGGCAGGAUCUGCGUCGGGUUCGCCUUCUGCUUCGCAGCGAACGACGUCGCCAACUUCGUGGACUUUCUCCGUGGAGGUGACAAGUGA